CCAGACUCCUACGGGAGGCAGCAGUCGGGAAUAUUGCGCAAUGGAGGAAACUCUGACGCAGUGACGCCGCGUAUAGGAAGAAGGUUUUCGGAUUGUAAACUAUUGUCCACAGGGAAGAUAAAAGACUGUACCUGUGAAGAAAACUCCGGCUAACUACGUGCCAGCAGCCGCGGUAAUACGUAGGGAGCAAGCGUUAUCCGGAUUUAUUGGGUUUAAAGGGUGCGUAGGCGGAAUGCCAAGUCAGCGGUAAAAUCGCGGGGCUCAACCUCGCUCCGCCGUUGAAACUGGCGUUCUUGAGUGGGCGAGAAGUAUGCGGAAUGCGUGGUGUAGCGGUGAAAUGCAUAGAUAUCACGCAGAACUCCGAUUGCGAAGGCAGCAUACCGGCGCCCAACUGACGCUGAAGCACGAAAGCGUGGGUAUCGAACAGGAUUAGAUACCCGCGUAUCA
rnacentral:rRNA from 1 species